AUGUUCAGAUAGCCAUGCACGUCUAAGUACAAACUAAAUGAUGGUGAAACUGCAAAUGGGCUCAUUACAACGGUUAUGAUGUACCCGGGAGUUCCGAUGGAUAUUUCCAGUAACACUAGAACUAAUACAUGUCCCUGCGUUUAUUAGUUUCGCACAGUCCGUCGCUGAGUCAUGGUAAACAGUUGAUCGACUCGACGUCCCGGAACAGUUUCCGCCCCAUCAGCUUCGAUGGUUGGGUAUUGGCCUACCAUUGCAACAACGGGUAACGAGGAAUUAGGGUUUGAUUUCGGAGAGGGAGCCUGAGAAACGGCUACCACAUCUACGGAUGGCAGCAGGCGCGCAAAUUACCCAAUGCAGACACUGUGAGGUAGUGACGAGAAAUAAUAAAGCGGGACUUCUGUUUCGCUAUUAUAAUGAGGAAUAACCAAAGGUCAUUCCGAUUAGCAACUGAUGGGAAAGUCUGGUGCCAGCAGCCGCGGUAAUACCAGCGUCAGUAGCAU
rnacentral:rRNA from 1 species